CACACCCCAGUGUGACCUGUGACACCAUGAUCCAGGGCUGAGAAGGAGGCAAUACUCAGAGUGUAGUCUACCUUCUCAGGAAUGCGUGGGUGAGCACCGAGGGAGAGAAUAUUCUCUGGGCCUCAGAUGCAAACACAAAGGAGAGGGAAGGCCACACCAAAGCCCAGGAGAGACUAAUGCAGGGCACAGCCAUGGAGCCGGUCAGGAGACCUACGCGGGUCAGCAGGCAUCUGCUGCAUGAACUGUAGUCCCGCCCAUGACAAGGGGAGUGGCCUCAUGUGGCCCCCUCCAUCCAUCCUGCCUCUCAGAGCCCAGCGCAUGACCAGGCAGAGCCUGGAGGACCCCCGCAUCUGCCAGGAGGGCUGCCUGCCAUCCUUCCUUCUCUGCAAAAAAGGAGAAGGGAGAGGCUGGCACCCCUGCGGCCUUGCCUGCCCUUGGUGUGCAGACCCAGCCACUCUGGGGCGCCGGGGGGCCGGAGGCAGAGGGCAUAAGCUCUGUGCAAACAUCCUGCCUUCUCCCCAGGAUAUUGUCUUUAAUAAAAGACCAUGGAAAUGUCA